UGAAGACCAUCACCCUGAUAGAGGUAUAAGA
rnacentral:piRNA from 1 species